GAAGUUUUGGAGGGGGUCACUCACUAGUCACUACACUAAAAAUUUAUCGCUGUUAUAGGAUAACUAGAAAAUUCCUUUCAUUAUUUGG